rnacentral:rRNA from 1 species
AUUGAACGCUGGCGGCAGGCCUAACACAUGCAAGUCGAGCGGAUGAAGGGAGCUUGCUCCUGGAUUCAGCGGCGGACGGGUGAGUAAUGCCUAGGAAUCUGCCUGGUAGUGGGGGAUAACUUCCGGAAACGGGCGCUAAUACCGCAUACGUCCUGAUGGAGAAAGUGGGGGAUCUUCGGACCUCACGCUAUCAGAUGAGCCUAGGUCGGAUUAGCUAGUUGGUGGGGUAAAGGCCUACCAAGGCGACGAUCCGUAACUGGUCUGAGAGGAUGAUCAGUCACACUGGAACUGAGACACGGUCCAGACUCCUACGGGAGGCAGCAGUGGGGAAUAUUGGACAAUGGGCGAAAGCCUGAUCCAGCCAUGCCGCGUGUGUGAAGAAGGUCUUCGGAUUGUAAAGCACUUUAAGUUGGGAGGAAGGGCAGUAAGUUAAUACCUUGCUGUUUUGACGUUACCAACAGAAUAAGCACCGGCUAACUUCGUG